GACGAACGCUGGCGGCGUGCCUAAUACAUACAAGUGGGACGCAAGAGGACACACUGUGCUUGCACACCGUGUUUUCUUGAGUCGCGAACGGGUGAGUAACGCGUAGGUAACCUGCCUAUUAGCGGGGGAUAACUAUUGGAAACGAUAGCUAAUACCGCAUAAUAUUAAUUAUUGCAUGAUAAUUGAUUGAAAGAUGCAAGCGCAUCACUAGUAGAUGGACCUGCGUUGUAUUAGCUAGUUGGUAAGGUAAGAGCUUACCAAGGCGACGAUACAUAGCCGACCUGAGAGGGUGAUCGGCCACACUGGGGCUGAGACACGGCCCAGACUCCUACGGGAGGCAGCAGUAGGGAAUCUUCGGCAAUGGACGAAAGUCUGACCGAGCAACGCCGCGUGAGUGAAGAAGGUUUUCGGAUCGUAAAGCUCUGUUGUAAGUCAAGAACGUGUGGAGAGUGAAAGUUCACACAG
rnacentral:rRNA from 1 species